rnacentral:misc_RNA from 1 species
CAGGGUUCAGCUCCCUGAGGGGUCU